GCAGGAUAUGUUUGUUUAGCACGUCAUCACACCUUUCUUGCUUAAAAUAGAAGUAUUUUCUUGAACAAUUGAUUGUUCCUUUUUUUAGUAACGAUGGCAAUGGCAUGGCCUCCGAAGAUUUUUAAUUUUGUUGUAAAAGGUUCGAUAGGAUUUGAGGCUACCACUUGACAGAAUUCAAGUCGUCUGCAUCUGGCGCGAAUUUGUGGUAAUGUUCAAACAAAAAGAUUGUCGGGAUGAUGCAUAUACCUCACAUCCCUUACAGAAUCAUUCGUCCAUGGGGAUUCGUGACUCUUCAACGCUGCGCUUUCUAUUGCAGUUUACUGCACAAAAGCCUUUUUUUGGACCGAUUCACCCAGCCAUGUGCUCGAUACAUAUAAAAGCGGCUACGGUAUAAAGCGCUCAUAGUUACCGGCAUGCGAACUAUGAAUAGGGGUGAUCACGCCCACGCACCGCGUCGUUCUAUUCUCGUGCGCAAAAUCAAUUCACUUGUUUAAACUCAAUCUUCAAUAACAAACAACAUCUGAAACAUGUUGGAAACGAACAAAAUACCGUUGGUGUCUGUCAUUUGUUACUAGACGAGCUUGUAUCGAGUCAAGUGUGCCAUGUGCCUCUCAAUCUGAAUAUACAUAUUAGAUUCGAGACUGUCUCCGUAUUACAUUGUAAUUUUUCCUCGAGGUUGUACUAAUACACAUAAUGUUCACGGGCACUCAAGGUUUGCUUUUAGGUUAAUAGCUAAGACUACGUUUUUAUUUAUUUAUUUCCCUAACGUACAGACGAGCAUACGGCCCACCUGAUGGUGAGUGCUUACCGUCGCCCAUGGACUUCAGCAUUGCCAGGGGCAGGGCCAAGCCGCUGCCUAUUAUUAUACUCUCCACAAGCCUCGUUUGAAGAAGGACAUGUCAUAGCGCUCGGGAAAAAUCCUGGAGGGGAGUUCAUUCCAAAGCCGGAUGCAACCUGUAAUAAUAUGUACGAAUUCUACUAAGCACUUAAAACUAGAUGGACUGUGUGCAUGUGUGCGCAUUUACGACAAAAAUAUACUGUUUGAAAUGCGGAUCAAUACAAAAAGUAUUAUAAGAGAAGCUUUGUAAAUACGUACACUUUUAUAUGUCGACUACUCGUUUGGCAUUUUUGUUCUUGACAGUACCGCUACAUUCUAUUCAAGUAGAACUCUACGAUUAAGAAAAUAUCAUGUAGAGCUCUUAAUCAAAUCCACCGUAAGAGUCCUUAAGAGAUUCCAUUCUGUAACUCUGCGGAUUGAUGUAAAUGUAUUAAUAACAUUUUUAAAUUUGAGCUUCAUUUAUGACCUCAAAGCCAACGAGCAUACUUCCCAUUUGAUUGAUAGCGGUCAUCGCUGCCUACAGCAAAAUACUUUAAAAAAAAUUCUUUUCACUUUUUGCCGAAUAUCGUAGAAGCCAGGACGUGGCUAACUGCGUGCGUCACUGCAUUCAAUAUCCUACAAUAUUAGCAGAAAAUAAAGCAGGCUAACCGCUACAUGCAAUAACAGCAAUACACGGUAAAGAUGCUAACAACGUCAGCACUCGUAAAUACACCUCAUAAUGUUCCGUUCAAAAUUACUACUAAAUAGCUCUUGCCUCUAGACCUUUUAGAAAAUAUAACCUACCAUAUGUUCCCUUUGGAUCUGAGUGUUCAUGAAUAAGAAAUGAAGUCCAUCAACUCGGAUAUGUUUGGAUGUACGACAAAAAGAACAAUAAUACCCAAUAACAUAUAAAACUGUUUGCCCAGAAUAUUUUUUACGACGAAAACUCACUAAAAACUCGCAGGACACACCGCGCGGUUAGGAGUUUGCUUCCUUGAGAUUCAAAACAAAACAUCAUAUCUCGUGACCCCACACUUCAAUUACUCAGUUUAAAGUAUCGCGCGAGAAACGCCUGAUAUGGAGCCGUCACCUAAGGCUAGAUUUGCUAAGCGAUCAUGUCACUGAUCCCAGAUCCCCAUUCCCUGGAAAUCAAUCAAAAUGAGCUUACCAUUUAUGAGCUACUAAAAUACUUCCUCGACCUUACUACAGACAUUACGGAAACUUUUUGUCAUUUAUGACCUCUUUAAUAGUCCGCCUAAAACGAAUAAAUGAAGCCAGCCAGGGUUUUCAUCAAAAUUUGACACAAUCCAGUAAAUAAAAUUGACUAUUACGGGAUCUCAUAUUAAUAGUUGUUCUCGUAUCUACUAAAGAACUGAGAAGGGAUACUCCCUGGAGAAAUGCGAUGCUGCGUCGAGAAUAAACUAGCAAUCUUGUGUUUUAAAUCGGUAUAAAUGUUUCGACGGAGAGAACAGAUUCUUGGAACAUGUGUUCCAUUGUUCUUAAUAUUUUAAUUUUGUUACAACAGUACUAUUAAUAAUAAUAGCUUUAGUAUUUUGAGUUGUAAACAUUACUAACAUUACAUUAUUAAAAUUACAUCACCCACCCGUAGUAAUUCUACCGAAACAAUUAUUUCUUUCCUUUUUCCGCUAGACAGUGGUGGUAGGAUUUUACUGGUGGUAGGACGUCUUGUGAGUCCGCACGGGUAGGUACCACCACCCUGCCUAUUUCUGCCGUUAACCAGUAAUAAUGCGUUUCGGUUUGAAGGAUAGAGCAGCCAUUGUACUGUUAAAAGUGAGGCCUUGCAAAUCAUGUCUCAAGGUGGGUGGCGGUAUUUACGUUGUAGAUGUCUAUGGGGUCCGCGAACCACUUAACAAUAGGUGGGCUGUGACCUCGUCCACCUAUCUAAGCAAUAAAAAAUAAAAUAUCAAAGAUGGAAGGUCAGGACAUGAAUACCAGCACAGCCCUAGAGACGUAAAGAUGAGGUCGGAGUCUCAAUAGCGUGACAUAACAGCUAGCCCUCACAACGGAACAUUGCCGCGGUGGACUGCUUCAUGGCGGAAAAUUAUAAAUGUGUAACUUUAUUUUUAUUACACGCUAAUGUUUCUAAAGUGUUGAAGUCGUUCAUUAUUUAAAAACAUUAUUUUAAAUUAAAGUUUAUUUUUUAUGUUUGAGGGAUAGCUGGUGGCCCGGAGGCCUAUCCAGUUUCACCAGGACAGGUGGGCGAGCAAGGGCUCAGCCAGGAGGGGUGGGAUUUGCUAACAGAAAAUAAAAGAUCAUAGUCACUAUGUACUCAGUAUGUUUAAAAUAUUCCAUGAACUGACGUUUGUAAUAUGCUGUAUCAAAAUUGAAUGUCAAACAAUAAGGAUUUUUUGGCGGAAACGCGAGGAGUGAAGUUGUGUGAUUUGUUUUAUUUUGUCUAUUUAGUGUUUCUUCAGGUUUAAGUAUGUAAUAAUGGUCGUUUAUUAACUGUUUAAUAUCUGUGAAAGUGCACAAAUGUGGGAAAAUGAAACAAAGCCGCUGGACGUAACUUCUCGGGAUCCUCCAAAAAGUCCACUGAAAAAAUCUCAGUAAAUGACCACAAUUUUACUGAGAUUAUAUUUCAUCCCAUAUCAUCUCAUCUCAUUUCAUUUCACUCCAUAUUAUUAUUUUUUAUAAAAAUUAGAAUAUAAAUAAGAUCUGACUUAAAGGCCUUAGUUACCAGGUCAUGAAAUCCCUUACAAAACUCAAAUAAUAAUGACAUAACCCAUAGAUAAAACACAAUUUUUAUUAAAUAAGCGUAUAGACGGAGGCUCCGACGUAUUCAUUUUGCGCGGGGCACAGCUUAAGUAAUUAUGAACCCAAUCCGCACAUAUGGCACUCGGAGACACAAAUUUAACUUGAAUUAAAUAUGUACAUAGCAUUAUGCAAAUCCGUCCCCUCCGCGAGGGUAAACGAGCGACGGCCGAUAUUCAACCAAUGAAAUUUACGUUUUCCACACGAAAAAACACGACGCGACUGAGAAUCACGUAAUUUCACUAUUAGAAAUGUCGAGAUAGAGCAGCCCGCGUAUUACUUUGAAUAUUUUCAUAUUGAAAUUUAUUCUAAAGGUAUAUUUAAUUGAAUACUGACUUUCACGUGUAGUAGGACGUCUUGUGAGCCCGCACGGGUAGGUACCACCACCUUGUCUAUUUCUGCCGUGUAGCAGUAAUGCGUUUCGGCUUGAAAGGUUGUGAAAGGACAGCCGUUGUACUAUAAAAACUGAAAACUUAAAACUAUUAUCUCAAGGUAGGUGGCGGCAUUUACGUUGUAGAUAUCUUUGGGUUCCGGUAACCACUUAACAUAUGGUGGGUCGUGAGCAGGUGAGCCAGGACCACGCAAUAAAAAAAAAGAAUAAUAUGUAUGUAAGCGUAUUAAAUUAGAUUAUCAUAUUUUUGACUAUUUUAAGAUCGUAUGGUUUUGUUCCAGAAUCGGAUGCUCCCAGUUUGCUGCAGCCACCCUACGCACCGGACCCUUAAGGAUAAGCGUGGUUUGCGCACCGCAAUCUACUCAUCUCCAUCGGCAUCAAACAGCUGAUAUUUCUCAUGUUUUAUCACAUAAAAAAUUGUUAUAAUAAAUAUAAACUUUAAAAAUUGCCGGCUUACAAACAUUCAAACAUUUAUAAUAUCAAUUUGAAUUUGAAUUUCCAGUCCAAUUCUAGACGAGGAGCUGGGGGAAUGCGGACCGUCGCUAUCCACAUAGCUGUGCUCAAUUGGAAAGACAGCUGUCCCUGUCGACUUCUAUUCGGGAAGGCGUCAAAAACCACAGCGUGAGCUACGCCAUCGACGCUACAUUCAUUGCUGGCUACAUAGGAAACUGCUGUCCUGUUUCAUGGACCGCAGCGAACAUUACAAACUGAACCCAAACUAUUCGUUUAACCAAGCUCAGUACCUGGUAGUUUAACCAAAACAGACGGCUACAAGCCUUCAGAUUCUGAGACAUUAGAUCGUUGGAAGAACCAUACAGAUGCAAAGAGCUAAUAUCUGCAACUUGAAAAUCUUUACUUAAAACAAUUUAUGGAGAUAAAAAUUUAAUAAAAGGCCCACUUCAAUAACAACGCAAACAA